rnacentral:lncRNA from 1 species
CAGGACUGCAGUUCCUAACCAGACAGAAGGGACCUCUGGAAGAGGCCCGUGGUGAAGGCCCUACAGACUCUUAAUCCCUCCAAGGGCACAAAUAACCGUACUGCUGCAAUCAGGAUAAGCAGGUGACGCGGGGCUGAUGCAGGACUGUUCGGGCUGGGGCCAGGUCCAGCCUGGAGUGCUGUCUUCGCUGACUCCCCAUCUCAGAGCAUGUUUGAUGUCUUCAGUGGUGACAGCAGGACCA